CGCGGCCUAUCAGCUUGUUGGUGAGGUAAUGGCUCACCAAGGCGACGACGGGUAGCCGGCCUGAGAGGGCGACCGGCCACACUGGGACUGAGACACGGCCCAGACUCCUACGGGAGGCAGCAGUGGGGAAUAUUGGGCAAUGGGCGCAAGCCUGACCCAGCGACGCCGCGUGAGGGAUGAAGGCCUUCGGGUUGUAAACCUCUUUCAGUAGGGAAGAAGCGAAAGUGACGGUACCUGCAGAAGAAGCGCCGGCUAACUGCGUGCCAGCAGCCGCGGUAAUACGUAGGGCGCAAGCGUUGUCCGGAAUUAUUGGGCGUAAAGAGUUCGUAGGCGGCUUGUCACGUCGGAUGUGAAAGCCCGAGGCUUAACCUCGGGUCUGCAUUCGAUACGGGCUAGCUAGAGUGUGGUAGGGGAGAUCGGAAUUCCUGGUGUAGCGGUGAAACGCGCAGAUAUCAGGAGGAACACCGGUGGCGAAGGCGGAUCUCUGGGCCAUUACUGACGCUGAGGAGCGAAAGCGUGGGGAGCGAACAGGAUUAGAUACCCUGGUAGUCCACGCCGUAAACGUUGGGAGCUAGGUGUUGGCGACAUUCCACGUCGUCGGUGCCGCAGCUAACGCAUUAAGUUCCCCGCCUGGGGAGUACGG
rnacentral:rRNA from 1 species